rnacentral:rRNA from 1 species
AUUGAACGCUAGCGGGAUGCCUUACACAUGCAAGUCGAACGGAGUGGCGAACGGGUGAGUAAUGUAUCGGAACGUGCCCAGUAGCGGGGGAUAACUACGCGACAGCGUAGCUAAUACCGCAUACUAUUGGAGCGGCCGCUUUCGGAUUAGCUAGGUGGUGGGGUAACGGCUCCCCAAGGGGACGAUCCGAAGCUGGUUUGAGAGGACGACCAGCCAAACUGGGACGGAGAAACGGUCCAGACUCCGACGUGAGGCAGAAGUGGGGAAGUGUGGACAAGGGGGGAAACCCUGAUCCAGCCAUCCCGCGUGUGCGAUGAAGGCCUUCGGGUUGUAAAGCACUUUUGGCAGGAAAGCGGUACCUGCAGAAUAAGCACCGGCUAACUACGUGCCAGCAGCAGCGGUAAUAC